UACGUAUGGGGCAAGCGUUAUCCGGAUUUACUGGGUGUAAAGGGAGCGUAGGCGGCCUGGCAAGCCUGAUGUGAAAUACCGGGGCCCAACCCCGGGGCUGCAUUGGGAACUGCCAGGCUGGAGUGCCGGAGAGGCAGGCGGAAUUCCUAGUGUAGCGGUGAAAUGCGUAGAUAUUAGGAGGAACACCAGUGGCGAAGGCGGCCGCCUGGCCUGUUACUGACGCUGAGGCACGAAAGCAUGGGUAGCGAACAGG
rnacentral:rRNA from 1 species